AGCUCCAGCCGCAGCCCCUUGAACUUGGGCUCCGAGGGCUCCUUCAGCAAGAAGUCCGAGAACACGUACUCGGUGGCCAGGUAUAACAAGGAUAAUUGCUGAAUAUCUAAAAGACUAUUCUCCUUUAACCAACCCUGCCCUACUUCUAAUGAUCAGGGCUGUCUUUAAAAGGCAUGGAAUCAAGAAUUUUGUGAGAGUUCUUCUCCCUACCAGUCAGCUGCACUGAUGACUUCCUCCUGGUGUUGCUCACAUGUUUCCCUGCUGAGGACAACCAGCUGGUUCACAGAGCAUCCGUGGGGAGUGCACAGGACUGGACUUCCCGGUAUGCGACCUGCUUCCUUG